AUUGAACGCUGGCGGCAGGCCUAACACAUGCAAGUCGAGCGAGCGGCGGACGGGUGAGUAAUGUAUGGGGACUGCCCGAUAGAGGGGGAUAACUACUGGAAACGGUAGCUAAUACCGCAUACUAUCGGAUAACCCAUAUGGGAUUAGCUAGUAGGGGGGGUAAUGGCUCACCUAGGCCACGAUCCCUAGCUGGUCUGAGAGGAUGAUCAGCAACACUGGGACUGAGGCACGGCCCAGACUCCGACGGAGGAAGCAGGGGGGAAUAUUUGACAAUGGGCGAAAGCCUGAUGCAGCCAUGCCGCGUGUGUGAAGAAGGUCCUAGGGUUGUAAAGUACUUUAAGUCGGGAGGCGUUACCCACAGAAGAAGCACCGGCUAACUUCGUGCCAGCAGCCGCGGUAAUAC
rnacentral:rRNA from 1 species